ACGUAGGAGGCAAGCGUUAUUCGGAUUUACUGGGCGUAAAGCGCGUGCAGGCGGUUCGGAAAGUUGGAUGUGAAAGCUCCUGGCUUAACUGGGGGAGGGCGUUUAAUACUUCCAGACUUGAGAGUCGGAGAGGGAGGCGGAAUUCCGGGUGUAGUGGUGAAAUGCGUAGAUAUCCGGAGGAACACCAGUGGCGAAAGCGGCCACCUGGACUACAACUGACGCUCAGGCGCGAAAGCGAGGGUAGCAAACGG
rnacentral:rRNA from 1 species